GAUGAACGCUGGCGGCGUGCCUAAUACAUGCAAGUCGAGCGAACGGACGAGAAGCUUGCUUCUCUGAUGUUAGCGGCGGACGGGUGAGUAACACGUGGAUAACCUACCUAUAAGACUGGGAUAACUUCGGGAAACCGGAGCUAAUACCGGAUAAUAUUUUGAACCGCAUGGUUCAAAAGUGAAAGACGGUCUUGCUGCCACUUAUAGAUGGAUCCGCGCUGCAUUAGCUAGUUGGUAAGGUAACGGCUUACCAAGGCAACGAUGCAUAGCCGACCUGAGAGGGUGAUCGGCCACACUGGAACUGAGACACGGUCCAGACUCCUACGGGAGGCAGCAGUAGGGAAUCUUCCGCAAUGGGCGAAAGCCUGACGGAGCAACGCCGCGUGAGUGAUGAAGGUCUUCGGAUCGUAAAACUCUGUUAUUAGGAAAGAACAUAUGUGUAAGUAACUGUGCACAUCUUGACGGUACCUAAUCAGAAAGCCACGGCUAACUACGUG
rnacentral:rRNA from 1 species